rnacentral:lncRNA from 1 species
ACAAUAUUGUUGAGCACUGAAACAUAUGAAGCCCAAUCAAAUCAAUAUCUUGGUUCAGAAUCAAAUUCAAUCAACCGUCGUACUGAAUUAUGUUCAUCUUUUAUUCAAUCACAGCAUUACAAAGGUCUCUUAAUCGAAGGUGCCNAAUGCACAUACAGGGAAUUUAAUCAAUCCUUCACCUUAGGGUGAACAAUAUUGUUGAGCACUGAAACAUAUGAAGCCCAAUCAAAUCAAUAUCUUGGUUCAGAAUCAAAUUCAAUCAACCGUCGUACUGAAUUAUGUUCAUCUUUUAUUCAAUCACAGCAUUACAAAGGUCUCUUAAUCGAAGGUGCCCUAACACUUUGUAGGGGUAAUUAACAAUAGACGCUUGCGUUUAUUGGAAGCCAUGAAUCCACAAUACCUGAUAACCAUAUACAUAUUCAAAUAUUAAUCUGAAUCAUGAAUACUACCCCACGGUGGAAAAUC